rnacentral:rRNA from 1 species
UACGAAGGGUGCAAGCGUUGUUCGGAUUUAUUGGGCGUAAAGCGCGCGUAGGCGGACCUGUAAGUCAGAUGUGAAAUCUCGGGGCUCAACCUCGAAACUGCGUCUGAAACUGCAGGUCUAGAAUCUUGGAGGGGGAAGGGGAAUUUCGCAUGUAGGGGUAAAAUCCGUAGAUAUGCGAAGGAACACCAGGGGCGAAGGCGCCUUCCUGGACAAGUAUUGACGCUGAGGCGCGAAAGCGUGGGGAUCAAACAGG